ACGAACGCUGGCGGCGUGCUUAACACAUGCAAGUCGAGCGGAAAGGCUCCUUCGGGGGUACUCGAGCGGCGAACGGGUGAGUAACACGUGAGUAAUCUGCCCCCUACUUUGGGAUAACCCCCGGAAACGGGUGCUAAUACCGGAUAUGACCACAGUGCGCAUGUUCUUGUGGUGGAAAGUUUUUUCGGUGGGGGAUGUGCUCGCGGCCUAUCAGCUUGUUGGUGGGGUAAUGGCCUACCGAGGCUUUGACGGGUAGCCGGCCUGAGAGGGUGACCGGCCACACUGGGACUGAGACACAGCCCAGACUCCUACGGGAGGCAGCAGUGGGGAAUAUUGGACAAUGGGCGGAAGCCUGAUCCAGCAACGCCGCGUGAGGGAUGACGGCCUUCGGGUUGUAAACCUCUUUCAGCACCGACGAAGCGCAAGUGACGGUAGGUGCAGAAGAAGGACCGGCCAACUACGU
rnacentral:rRNA from 1 species